rfam:Schistosoma haematobium scaffold821_32, whole genome shotgun sequence.
GUCCAACUGACGAGUCCCGAGUAGGACGAAACGCGCGUCCUGGAU